AAAACGCCCCCAACCCCUCCCCCGGAAUACGGAGCCGGCAUCAGGCACAACAACAUGCCUAAUACACCUAGCCACGCCACACCCACAAGGGUAAUCAGCAGUGAUUAACAUUGAACAUUAACGACAGUUAGACUCAGUUAGGGUAACAUAGAGCUGGCAAACCAGGUGCCAGCCGCCGCGGUUACACCACAAAGCUCAAAUUGAUGCCCAUCGGCGUAAAGAGUGAUUUACCCCCCCCCCCCACUAGAAUUAAACUAAAACUGGGUUGUGAUAAACCUGUUUUUAGGAAACCCAAAAACGAAAGUUAUCCUAGCACCCCACAAUCACGACAGCUCAGACACAAACUCGGAUUAGGUACCCGACUAUGCUCAGCCGUAAACCUUAACUUACAUUAAAAUCGCCAGGGAACUACGAGCCACGCUUAAAACCCAAAGGACUUGACGGCACUUCACAUCCAACUAGAGGAGCCUGUCCUAUAAAUCGAUAAUCCCCGUUCAACCUCACCCCCCUUAGCCUUUUCAGCCUGUAUACUUCCGUCGUCAGCUCACCGUGUGAGCGCCACUCAGUAGGCCCAACCGCUAAAUACGCACACACGUCAGGUCAAGGUGCAGCUUACAGGGGGGAAGAGAUGGGCUACAUUCUCUAUAAUAGAGUAUACGAAUGACUGCACAUGAAACCCAGUCAGAAGGCGGAUUUAGAAGUCAAGAGGAAAGCAGAGCGUUCCCUUUAAUAACGGCACUGAAGUGUGUACACACCGCCCGUCACCCUCCUCACAGCCACCUUGAUAGUAACUAACAACUCACGGCACCAAAGAGGAGGCAAGUCGUAACAUGGUAAGCAUACCGGAAGGUGUGCUUGGAAA
rnacentral:ncRNA from 1 species